UAUUGGUCAAUGGGCGCAGGCCUGAACCAGCCAAGUAGCGUGAAGGAUGACUGCCCUAUGGGNUGUAAACUUCUUUUAUAUGGGANNNNNNNUNUCCACGUGUGGAAUUUUGUAUGUACCAUAUGAAUAANNNUNANCUAAUUCCGUGCCAGGAGCCGCGGUAAUACGGAGGAUCCGAGCGUCAUCCGGUUUUAUGGGGUUUAAAGGGAGCGUAGGUGGACAGUUAAGUCAGUUGUGAAAGUUUGCGGCUCAACCGUAAAAUUGCAGUUGAUACUGGCUGUCUUGAGUACAGUAGAGGUGGGCGGAAUUCGUGGUGUAGCGGUGAAAUGCUUAGAUAUCACGAAGAACUCCGAUUGCGAAGGCAGCUCACUGGACUGCAACUGACACUGAUGCUCGAAAGUGUGGGUAUCAAAC
rnacentral:rRNA from 1 species